rnacentral:lncRNA from 1 species
AGAGGAGUAGCAAAAUGGGAGGAAGGUGCUGUGACUAAAUGAAGGAAGGCUGAGGGGUUAAAAUCAUUGCUGGGUGAUUUCACCACUACUGCCCCAUAUUCAUACUCUCGGUAAAUGAAUGAGGAGAGCCCCAUGUGGGAUUACAAACUUGCUGGAAAUGGAUGAGAAACCUUCUGCUCUGCUGGAGUUUAUCUUGAGUGUGCCUUAAAAUUCCAUUUCAUGGAGAACUGUGCGUGGUUGAAUUUUGAUUGAUUACUCAAUUAACUGAUGUAUUGGUAGAGUGAUUAAGAAAGAAGACUUUGGGAUCAGACCAACCUGGUUUUGAAUUCAAGCUCAGCAACUUACUAGGUAAGGAGGAGAAAAGAAAGAAGGAAAAAUUGGAAAGAUAAAUGGGGUCUUUCCAGUGAAGCUGCAGUUAUGGCAUUAACCACCCAGUUGUUACCUACUUCUAGAUGAAAGCUCAAUUUUCCUACAUAAUUAAGAGUUUGGAAUUCGGGCAAUAUCAAGAACCACAUCUGUCCUGAAAUCAAUUAUCUCUGUUUGAAACACAAGAAAUAAGAAGACCAUUUUGAGAAGAACAGAGAGUAGCCUUAAGAAAAUCCCUGUCGCAAGCACUCUGGGAUUUGGACUCAAAUGCUAAUUAUACAGAACCACUUGGGUGCCCAGCUGCUGUCCAUUCUCUACACUUAUCCCACCUGAUGGAAGGCUGUUAAGAAAAACAUCACUGCAAUGCCUAAUAAACAGACAUGGGUCCCAGACCCAAUAAGAGUGAAACCAUCCCCCUAUUUAAAUGAAAUUAUGGCUGAUGAGAAAGACAAAUUAAUUUCUCUGUCCCUAGUAUUACACAAAACUUUGGAUGCUGCCAUUGUUACAAUUUUAUUUUCCCCAGGAGCUCAGAGUCCCACCUUCAUUCUUUUUGUUUAAUGCUUAAGCUUGCCUGUCCACCUAUGGAAGACUAGAAUGAGCAAAGACCAUGUAUUCAAUGAUCUGUAAAUCUAACAGGAAACAAUAUAAUAAAUAUAUUGUGUUUGCUAACCAAA